AGGGUGAGAUAAAAAACCACUGCAACAAAGUCAAACGCCAUAAUUUUUACAAGUUUUUUUAAUUUUAUUGAAUGAAAGCAAAUAAUUUCGGAAAUUCCUUCAAAUUUUAGAAGAAGUAUAGAUUUGUUCGAAUUGGUCACCUUUGGCACGAAUUAUGGCUUUCGAACGGCCAAUAAAAUUGUCACACGCUGCCCGAAUGUUUCUCUGCGUAUUUUGGCCCAUUCCCGGCGAAGCUCUUGCUUGAGGUGAUCGACACUUUGGUAUUUUUUAGAGCCAACCUCGUUUUCCAAAAUACUCCAGACACAAUAGUCCAACGGAUUGGUAUUCGGAGAUUUUGGUCAUUGUGCGCUGGAAAUGAAGCGAGGAACCUCAUUUUGUAACUAUUUUUGGAUGGCGCAUGCUGAGUGCGAUGGUGCUGAGUCCUGUUGGAAUGUCCAAGAUCUGCGGCCAAAAUGUUUGCCUGCCCAAGGCUUAAAUACACCCUCCAGAAUAUUUUCGCGAUAAUAUUCGGCAUUUAUUCUGAUGCCACGGUCGAUUAAUACGAGCGGAGAGCGACCAUCGGCUGUUAUGGCGGCCCACACCAUCACGAUGGCCGGCGCUUGAGUUCUGGUGGCCAACCGAAGGUACACAUUUACAGCUGCCCUCUUUGGCAAGUAAACACGAUCAUUUUGUUUGUCUACAAACUGUUGGUCAACGAAUGUUUUCUCAUCGGAGUAAACCAAAUUCGGCAGUUCACCAAUUUCGGCCAAGCGAAGCAACUUUUUAGCUCUUUUGAGUCUAUUUUCUUACGGUUGCGGUGUAAGUUCUUGCUCUUUUUGGAAUUUCAAUGACUUUACCCCGAGCUCAUUUUUCAAUAUUUGA